AUACUUGUUGCGGAACUUGUGAUUCCACCGUCUGGUUCAUUCAGUAAACGCUCAAGGGACUGUAUUUUAUAAUUGUAUUGAUUAUAAUAUGUGAAAGUAUACUAUUUACAACGUGAGUUUUAGACUGUUAAACAUUCCGAUUGUCUCGCUACGAUCUGACAGCAACAAUGACAUUCAAUCACUCCCUAGCUAUUUGAUUACCCUACCAAAUUACAAUGUGUCACUGUGACGUAUCAAUUUACACAUACAAAGACUUAUUUACGAUUUAACAUGAAUUACGUCAAUCACAAUACUGAUAUAUUACAUGAAGUAUAUUUAAAGUUGAAUGAAUUGGCGGCGCUGCGCUGGGAACCUACGACACCCCACCCACCUUGAUUCAUAAAGGUCUAUGAAUCAAGCAUCGCCUUUGUCUUCGCUUUGGAAAUUGCUGCAGCAGCCCGUCUCGGACGAUCAUGCAAGACAUGCAAGGACCCGUCUGCCUUAGCUAUGGGGGAAUCCUUUCCCUGCCCAUUCCCACCCGGUCGAGCUUGAACCUCCAAUGGGAAUAACUUCUGUAUAGGCCUAUUCAAAUAGACUGGUCUACCCUUGCCUGCAACCUUUACUUUGGCCCCUCGGACCUCCUUUUCCUUACCUACAAUUAACUCUUCUACAACUCCUAACUUCCAACCACAUCUCUUUCCUCCUUCUCCGUACACUGUCACUACGUCUCCCUUCUUUACUUCUCUCAAUCUACCUCCGUUUUUGCAUUUAUGGAACUCUCUCAACCCUGUUAGAUACUCCUUUUGCCACCUCUUCCAGAAGUGCUCUAACUUUAACGACACGUACUUAAAUCUCUCCUCACAACUAUUCUCGUCUUUAGUAACUUCGUUCUGUGGCAUAAUAUUAAUUGCUCUACCAUAUAUUAAGUGUGAAGGAGUUAAGACUUCACCAUCAAAUUCUUCGUAUUCAUCAGUCAACGGUCUUGCAUCUAAUGUACCUUCAACUUCAACUAAAACUGUAUUAAGUUCGUCGAACGUUAACCUAGCAUUCCCUAAAGUCUUCCUAAGACACCUUUUCACGCUUCGUACCAUCCUCUCAAAAACUCCACCCCACCAGGGUGCCCUCUCUAAGUUGAACCUCCAGGUUAUUCGCUUCGUCUG
rnacentral:lncRNA from 1 species